UGCCCAGCAACUCCUAUCCCUACCUCCACGCGGUACCGGCCGCGGAAACUAUGAGCAACCUUAGGGAAGAUCGGGUAACCAACCCCGGUGGGAACUUUGGUCAUAGGCUGACAGGGAAGG
rnacentral:ribozyme from 1 species